rnacentral:rRNA from 1 species
AUUGAACGCUGGCGGCAUGCUUUACACAUGCAAGUCGAACGGUAACAGGCCGCAAGGUGCUGACGAGUGGCGAACGGGUGAGUAAUGCAUCGGAACGUGCCCAGUCGUGGGGGAUAACGCAGCGAAAGCUGUGCUAAUACCGCAUACGAUCUAUGGAUGAAAGCGGGGGACCGUAAGGCCUCGCGCGAUUGGAGCGGCCGAUGUCAGAUUAGGUAGUUGGUGGGGUAAAGGCCCACCAAGCCAACGAUCUGUAGCUGGUCUGAGAGGACGACCAGCCACACUGGGACUGAGACACGGCCCAGACUCCUACGGGAGGCAGCAGUGGGGAAUUUUGGACAAUGGGCGCAAGCCUGAUCCAGCAAUGCCGCGUGCAGGAAGAAGGCCUUCGGGUUGUAAACUGCUUUUGUACGGAACGAAACGGUCUGGGUUAAUACCCUGGGCUAAUGACGGUACCGUAAGAAUAAGCACCGGCUAACUACGUGCCAGCAGCAGCCGCAGUAA